rnacentral:rRNA from 1 species
UACGUAGGGGGCGAGCGUUGUCCGGAAUCAUUGGGCGUAAAGCGCGUGUAGGCGGCAGACCAAGUCGGCGGUGAAAGCGCCCGGCUCAACUGGGCGAGGUCCGUGGAAACUGGUCAGCUGGAGGACGGUAGAGGCGGGUGGAAUUCCCGGUGUAGUGGUGAAAUGCGUAGAGAUCGGGAGGAACACCUGUGGCGAAGGCGGCUCGCUGGGCCGGUCCUGACGCUGAGACGCGAAGGCGUGGGGAGCGAACGGG